AUGCCUGCGGUCGUCCCCUCCAAGACUUCGCUGUUGGCAUGUCCAUCUACGAAGCCUCGACCGCCGGGCCCCCGUUUUCCUUCCCGGCGCUGGCCACUCCAUCGCCUUUCCGACAGACGCAUCUCCUCCGCCUCCACUUUGCCUAUGUGGGAUCACACUACCACUGACCAUAUGGCCGGUUCCUCAGGUCGGGCACCAGAUGCUCCGAACCUGCCAUAUCAUGCUCGGCUAUGGCGGGAACGAGACGAUCGCCUGGGCCACCUCCCAUGGUCCUCGGCAGCUCAAAAUAAGAGACAACUCGCAGCCAUUCUCCGACGACGACGCUUGCGGCUUGCCCAGCCGCCCUAUGCAGCCCUCCCGCCGUCAGCGUGCGAGGUCGCUACGGCCCGGCUACCUUGCGCCCUCUCGCUGUCUCUUUGGUCGCAGCCCGGUGCCGCCUUCCAGCGCAGAUGGGAGGCCGCCGCCUUGAGCUCGCGCCAGCCCUGCUGCAAGUCAACCGUGGAUGAGGUCGACCCGCACAGACGGGAGACGGCGCAGAGUGUUGGCCGCGCUCGCCGCCGUGGUAAUGGGCAUGGCCAGGCCAAUACGAUGAUGGACGAGAUGGUCUACAUCAUGAACAACAAGAAAGUGCACGACGGCACCCUCGCGGCCUCGCCAAAACCCCUGUGCCCCAGGCCCCUAGCUGACUUCGCCCUGGGCACAGAAAGCGGCGGCAGCGUCAGGGUGCCCGCUGCCUAUUGCGGCAUCUGCAGGCUCCGGCCCUCCCACGGACUGAUGUGCACUGAAUAUGUCGUCCUGAUGGCACAUAUGUUCGACACUGUCGGUUUCAGUUAUGCUUAUGCGAUAUUUGCCCCGCGAUGGAGCCAGUCGAACAUAUGUUGCUUUCACUGCAUGGCCGGGUCGAGCUGUGGAAUGCCCUGGGGCUACUCACUAAAGCACUAUACUCCUCCUACUCAUUGUCUUUCUUUCCUUCGAGGUUUAGGACAGUUCGUAAUACGCGUCUUCGAUAAUAUGCACAUCUCCAAAACGGUAUCCUGCAUGAGCAUUGCAGAAGUGUGGACCAAAGACCUUGUCAUGAAGGGCUUGACAUAUUCCUCAAAAAGAAAUGCAGAAUCCCAUCUAGGGACUUCCAGUAUUUUCUCUUUCAUCGGUGACUUCCACUUGAAUCCGUUCCCAAUGGAAGGCGCGACGUGCCGCCGCGCGGGCAUGCUAGUCCAUGACUACGGGUUGCCUUUCUUUUGGUCCUGGAGCCUCCAGAGAUGGCCAUUCCUUAACGCGUACUACCUUGUUGAAAAUACCCAGCGAACAACAAGACCUACUGCAGGCGAUUGA
rnacentral:rRNA from 1 species